rnacentral:rRNA from 1 species
GAUGAACGCUGGCGGCGUGCCUAAUACAUGCAAGUCGAGCGAACAGACGAGGAGCUUGCUCCUCUGACGUUAGCGGCGGACGGGUGAGUAACACGUGGAUAACCUACCUAUAAGACUGGGAUAACUUCGGGAAACCGGAGCUAAUACCGGAUAAUAUAUUGAACCGCAUGGUUCAAUAGUGAAAGACGGUUUUGCUGUCACUUAUAGAUGGAUCCGCGCCGCAUUAGCUAGUUGGUAAGGUAACGGCUUACCAAGGCAACGAUGCGUAGCCGACCUGAGAGGGUGAGCGGCCACACUGGAACUGAGACACGGUCCAGACUCCUACGGGAGGCAGCAGUAGGGAAUCUUCCGCACUGGGCGAAAGCCUGACGGAGCAACGCCGCGUGAGUGAUGAAGGUCUUCGGAUCGUAAAACUCUGUUAUUAGGGAAGAACAAAUGUGUAAGUAACUAUGCACGUCUUGACGGUACCUAAUCAGAAAGCCACGGCUAACUACGUG